AUUCUAAAUAAAUGCAAUUUAGUGAUACCACAUUAUAACUUUGAUUAUAAAAACUUAUUCGUUACUUUUAAAACCAUAAAGUUGGUAAAAGUUAUGCAUUUAAAACACUUUCUGUGUGGAAUAUUCAUGUAUCUUAUGUUGGAAGUAUGCGAAGCAAACUGUAAUAUUCAACAAAAUGUAUUUAGAACUUGUAGGUUACGUGACCCAGUUGAAAGAAGAUGCGACUUUAAAAAUUGUCAAUAUGAACUGGAAUGUGUUAAAAUUUUUCGUGUGUUUGAACUUUGCUUAAGAGUUGGGAAUCUACCAAACUAAAAAUGAUAUCUUUGAAUUUUUGAAAAUAGUUGCUUUUAUGUUUUAUUUUUUGAGUUUUUGAAGAUAGAAUUGUUUAAAAAUUAUUAAAUAACUUUUCAUUUCAUUUUUACUUUAACUUGUAAAGUAUUAUGUAUCAAACGAUCAUGUAUUAAAUUAAAUUUGUUGCAAA